rnacentral:rRNA from 1 species
UGAGUAACGCGUGGGUAACCUACCCCAAAGUCCGGGAUAACAGCGGGAAACCGCUGCUAAUACCGGAUGCCUUUACCUUGGGGCAUCUUGAGGUAAAGAAAGGUAACGCUUUGGGAUGGGCCCGCGUCCCAUUAGCUAGUUGGUGAGGUAACGGCUCACCAAGGCGACGAUGGGUAGCCGGCCUGAGAGGGUGGACGGCCACACUGGGACUGAGACACGGCCCAGACUCCUACGGGAGGCAGCAGUAGGGGAUAUUGCGCAAUGGACGGAAGUCUGACGCAGCGACGCCGCGUGAGCGAUGAAGGUCUUCGGAUCGUAAAGCUCUGUCCUUGGGGAAGAAGGUCUUCGGACUUGACGGUACCCAAGAAGAAAGCCCCGGCUAACUACGUGCCAGCAGCCGCGGUAAUACGUAGGGGGCGAGCGUUGUCCGGAAUUACUGGGCGUAAAGGGUGCGUAGGCGGCCCUUUAAGUCGGAUGUGAA